AAAAGUCAUCCGAUCAGACAAGUCAGGAUCGGAUGCCACGAGACGAGAUGCCAAGGAAUUAGCCUCAGAACUAAUAUCAUAGUUGUGAAAGUAAGUAGAUGUAAGAUGUUUAGUAGCCAAAACAAGUGAAGUGAGAGGGAGAGGGCCUGAUCCAAUAAAUGCAAUUUUGUUUGGGGUUUUUGUAGUAUUCUUGGUCAAGAUAUUGAACUCAAGCAAACUAAGUUUGAUGUAAUUGUCAAAAUAUGGAAAAAUAUCAAGAUGGUGAAGAGGAUUUUCAAAAGAGCCAAGAAUCUUGGAAUAGUGACUCUCUAAAAGACCUUCAGCUUCACCACAUAGUUUGAUGAGAUGAGACCUAAUUUCUUGAAUUUUUUGACAGAGUUUUGAGACAUCAAUAGGAUUAGGAGGCAUGCACGUGUGGACAAGCUUUGUGAACAAUAUGUUGACAUCUUUGGAAGGGCUAAGGUUCUCCAAUCUCGAGAUCUGUUCAUAUAAUUCACACACUUGUUGUACUACUGGAUUGCUGUUUGGGCAC
rnacentral:lncRNA from 1 species